AUUGGUUGAUACUGCCAGUAGUCAUAUGCUUGCCUCAAAGAUUAAGCCGUGCAUUUGUAAGUAUAAACUAAUUAAAACUAUGAAACUAUGAAUGGCUCAUUAAAUCAGUUAUAGUUUAUUUUAUGGUAUCUACUACUCAGAUAACUACAGUAAUUUUAGAGCUAAUACGUGAAACAAAUCCUAACUUCUAAAAGGGAUGAAUUUAUUAGAUAAAAGGUUGAUGUAGGCUUUGCUCGUUGCUCUGAUAUUCAUGAUAACUUGACGGAUCAUACGACUUUUGUGCUAGCGAUGCAUCAUUCAAAUUUUUGCCCUAUCAACUUUUGAUAGUAAGGUAGUGGCCUACUAUAGUGGUGAUGGAUGAUAGAGAAUUAGGGUUUGAUUCUAGAGAGGGGGCUUGAGAAAUUGCUACCACAUCCAAGGAAGGCAGCAGGUGUGCAAAUUACCUAAUCUUAACAUAGAGAGGUAGUGGCAAUAAAUAACAAUAUCAGGCUUUAUGAGUCUAGUAAUUAGAAUGAGUACAAUCUAAAUCCCUUAACAAGGAUCCAUUAGAAGGCAAGUUUGGUGCUAGCAAUUGAGAUAAUUCUAGCUCUAAUAGCAUAUAUUUAAGUUGUUAUAGUUAAAAAGCUCAUAGUUAGAACUAGGAUUGGGUUAUCCAAUCCACCUUACGGUGGGCAUCAAUCUACUUGUCUCUACUACUAACAUUGCACUCUUGGCUUUAACUAGUUAGAUCAUUCCUCUAACAUUGUUACUUUGAAGAAAUUAGAGUGCUCAAAGUAGGCCUACGCUUGUAUACAUUAGCAUGGGAUAACAUUAUAGGAUUUCAAUCCUAUUGUGUUGGCCUUCAGGAUCGAAGUAAUGAUUAACAAGGACAAUCAAGGGCAUUCAUAUUUCAUAGUUAGAGGUGAAAUUCUUAGGUUUAUUAAAAAUGAACAACUGUGAAAGCAUUUGCCAAGGAUGCUGUCAUUAAUCAAGAAUGAAAGUUAGGGGCUUGAAGACAAUUAGAUGUCAUCCUAGUCUCAACCAUAAAUGAUGCUACCAGGGAUCAACAGAUCUCCCAGUCUCAACCCCUAAGUACUUUGAGUGGCAUAUUAAGUGAGGUAAAGACAUUAAAAUCCCUGAAGAAAUAACUCCAAAUGGCCCAAUGAAAUCACCACAUCUUGAUCCCAUAUUGGUAGUGGAAAUUGCUAAAAGAAAGCUCCAGGUUGAAAAAGAUGAAUUAGAGCUUGAAUACAAUAAGCCAAAAAGGGAGUUAGAGGGAUGAAUAGACAAAAAGAUUCAAGCACUUAGAUAAAAAAAGGGAUGAAUGGAAGAAUCUUUUUUCUAAUCUCAACAUCCAUAGUCAUCCACCAAUCAUGAGUUAGCCCAACUUUUGAAAGAAAAUGGACAAUUACAAGCAAAGAUGUAAGAAAAAGACAAAGCACUCACGAAGCUCAGAAGAACAUCCAAAUGUUCAAUGGGGUAAUGGUCGAAAUUGGAAACACAAAUGGGUGUUGUGAAUGAAGAAUGU
rnacentral:rRNA from 1 species